rnacentral:rRNA from 1 species
UACGUAGGGGGCAAGCGUUGUCCGGAUUUAUUGGGCGUAAAGAGCGUGUAGGCGGCUAGAUAGGUCCGUUGUGAAAACUCGAGGCUCAACCUCGAGACGCCGAUGGAAACCAUCCAGCUAGAGUCCGGAAGAGGAGAGUGGAAUUCCCGGUGUAGCGGUGAAAUGCGCAGAUAUCGGGAAGAACACCCGUAGCGAAGGCGGCACUCUGGGCCGUGACUGACGCUGAGGCGCGAAAGCGUGGGGAGCAAACAGG